UCUGGCAUUAGGGCACGUAAGGUUUCGCACUGAGCGUGUGUUUCAAUAUGGGCCAUGCCACGUGAAUUAAGUAGGACAGACAGACAGUCAGGAGUGGCACCACAAAGUCACUGACUCCAUUACCUCUUACAGUAGAUUAGUGUCAACAGGUCCAUUCAUCUGUUUACAGACACAGAUCAAAUGACUGAAACGAGAGCACUGUUCUCCUGGACAUCCUCCACAGAGUAAGACACACACAGAGUUGGGGUGGAUUACAUGACAUUACUGGUUGUAGAAUGAGACUGAACAGCCCCAGGACAAAGAGAGCUCUUUCUGUUUGGUUAGCUUACAUAGGAUGUCAAAGGGUGCAAUGACACUAAAACAUACGUGAGGUGCCUGUUGAUCUGUUGACAGAUCGUCAGUAGGACUCGGCAGCUGUCUCACCUUGCAUUAGGAGAGACAGCAGCCCCAAGUGCAAACAGCCACUCUCAUCGCUGGACAGAGGAGAAAAAGUGAUGACGGUAGCAUUAACAAAAACAGACCAAUAAAGUGUGAGGACCUUUGAGUAGUGAGGGAGCAGGGGCCUAUAAAUGGACAAACAGACAGGAGAAGAGCCAGUUUACAGGCCAACGCUCCUCCCUUUUCACUAUUAUUCUCUUGCCUUACUCCACUAAUCCAAACACCUGGAGGGUAGGGAGGAGGGAGGAGGGGGAAGAGACGGCCCCACGUGACUGGGAGCUCACAUGCAGCGUUACGCAACGUGUUACUGUAACACCUUGACUGGAGCCAGGGAGGUUAAGUAAAGCAGGACCUGCUCGGCACAAUCUGCCAAGGGCACGGGAGGGGGCGGCGGGCCAGCUGGUGGGGUGACAUCAAGUCUAAGAAGUCAUGUAUCAGCUGGUGUGUGCCACCAUAUGGGUUGUGUGCUGGAGUCAGAGCAGUUCCCCAGCAGCUGCAACCCACUCCAUAAUCAAGACCUCUACAAAUACUCAGUCCUGCCACUUCCACUCUACCAGAUCGUAAUCUCUGUUCAUUUUGCCUCUCUGACUCUGGUUCCUGUCUCCUGUUCCACAUCUCACCACCCUGCUACCCUGUUCUGGACUCACCACACCACCACUCCCUUGGAUUCCCCUCCGGACCUGUUUACCCUGUCCCAACCCAGCUCACUCCAACCUCAGCCUCCACAUCUGGUUUCCUACAACUCUUCAGAGCUUCCCUGGAUCUGCACUUCAUCUCUCCCUGUGUUACAAUAAAUAUCUUGGUUCAUUCAUCCCUGUUUCCUGGUCUGAGUCUGCUCUUGGGUUCCCUUGUGCUGCUCUGCAUAACACAGCAUCACUCUGUUACUGUGGAAUUGUCUGUAAGAAAGAGUACAAGGUAA